AGAGAUGCUGAUAAUAGAUCCAAGGCGCAUUUGGGAUCCGCGGUUCCAGUUCAGAUGCGUGGCCCACUGUCUGUUUCUAGUAGCUAUUGUUGCUUCUCAUUCUGGGUAUUUGUAUUUGAUCUGCCCCGCCAAUUUCCCUGCGCCAGAUCGUGGAUGCAUGAUGAUGGAUAAUAAUAGAUGAUGGAUAGUAGAUAAUAGAUACUAGGCGAUGGAUGCAACACGCCCACGUCUCUCCAGACAUGGCAAUCCCUCACGCGAUCGGAGAUCCCCUUUCCUGCCUUUCCUGCCUUUCCGGGAAUCAGGCCCGGGGAUGACGACGUGCUGUGACGUAUACACUUUUUUGGGCUGCGUUGUAUAUAGAUAGCGAUGGCUGUGCGCCGUGCGACGUCGGGCUGCUGUAUUAUACAUCAUCUAUCUGUAUGGAGAGGGGGAGAUAUAUUUGUACCUUGUAGAUACACAUACAUACAUAUAUAUGGAUAUGGAUAUAUAUAUAAUAUGUAGUACUGGCAUUCGUAAGAGGUCGGUGCGGCGGGGAUGUUAUAUACGGAUAUAUAUGUUGAUAUAACUAUCUAAGGUGGCAAGAGACAUCGCUUCUGCCGGGGAAAGGGGUAGUUCUCGAGGAAAUAUGGAAUAUGGAGAAUGGAAAUCAGGAGUGUUGCUACAG
rnacentral:sRNA from 2 species